UACGUAGGGUGCAAGCGUUGUCCGGAAUUAUUGGGCGUAAAGAGCUCGUAGGCGGUCUGUCGCGUCGGAUGUGAAAGCCCGGGGCUUAACUCCGGGUCUGCAUUCGAUACGGGCUAGCUAGAGUGUGGUAGGGGAGAUCGGAAUUCCUGGUGUAGCGGUGAAAUGCGCAGAUAUCAGGAGGAACACCGGUGGCGAAGGCGGAUCUCUGGGCCAUUACUGACGCUGAGGAGCGAAAGCGUGGGGAGCGAACAGG
rnacentral:rRNA from 1 species